CAGCCGCCGCGGUAAUACGAAGGGGGCUAGCGUUGCUCGGAAUUACUGGGCGUAAAGCGUGCGUAGGUGGUGGUUUAAGUCCGUUGUGAAAGCCCUGGGCUCAACCUGGAAAUUGCAGUGGAUACUGGGUCACUAGAGUGUGGUAGAGGAUAGUGGAAUUUCCGGUGUAGCAGUGAAAUGCGUAGAGAUCGGAAGGAACAUCUGUGGCGAAGGCGACUAUCUGGGCCAACACUGACACUGAGGCACGAAAGCGUGGGGAGCAAACAGGAUUAGAUACCCGCGUAGUCCCUGUCUCUUAUAC
rnacentral:rRNA from 1 species